rnacentral:rRNA from 1 species
UACGAAGGGGGCUAGCGUUGCUCGGAAUCACUGGGCGUAAAGCGCACGUAGGCGGCUUUCUAAGUCAGGGGUGAAAUCCUGGAGCUCAACUCCAGAACUGCCUUUGAUACUGGAAAGCUUGAGUUCGGGAGAGGUGAGUGGAACUGCGAGUGUAGAGGUGAAAUUCUUAGAUAUGACACAGAACACCAAUUGCGAAGGCAGCUCGCUAAACUGUAACUGACGCUGAGGCACGAAAGCGUGGGUAGCAAACAGG